UACAGAGGAGCCAGGCGUUGUCCGGAUUGACUGGGCGUAAAGCGCACGCAGGCGGAUGCGCGCGUGGGGUGUGAAAUCUGGCCGCUUAACGGCCAGGCGCCAUCCCAUACGGCGCGUCUGGAGUGAUGCAGAGGUCGGUGGAAUUGCCGGUGUAGUGGUGAAAUGCGUAGAGAUCGGCAGGAACACCCAGGGGGAAACCAGCCGACUGGGCAUCUACUGACGCUGAGGUGCGAGAGCGUGGGGAGCGAACCGG
rnacentral:rRNA from 1 species